rnacentral:rRNA from 1 species
GAUGAACGCUGGCGGCGUGCCUAAUACAUGCAAGUCGAGCGAACAGACGAGGUGCUUGCUCCUCUGACGUUAGCGGCGGACGGGUGAGUAACACGUGGAUAACCUACCUAUAAGACUGGGAUAACUUCGGGAAACCGGAGCUAAUACCGGAUAAUAUAUUGAACCGCAUGGUUCAAUAGUGAAAGACGGUUUUGCUGUCACUUAUAGAUGGAUCCGCGCCGCAUUAGCUAGUUGGUAAGGUAACGGCUUACCAAGGCAACGAUGCGUAGCCGACCUGAGAGGGUGAUCGGCCACACUGGAACUGAGACACGGUCCAGACUCCUACGGGAGGCAGCAGUAGGGAAUCUUCCGCAAUGGGCGAAAGCUUGACGGAGCAACGCCGCGUGAGUGAUGAAGGUCUUCGGAUCGUAAAACUCUGUUAUUAGGGAAGAACAAAUGUGUAAGUAACUAUGCACGUCUUGACGGUACCUAAUCAGAAGGCCACGGCUAACUACGUG